AGCUCAAAUCUUCUUCCAAAGAUCAAGAACAAAUUUUUAGUCUUUCUCAAGUACUUAAGUAUUUUUUACAGCUAUCCAGUACUCUUCAUCUGAAUUCGACUGAUAUCUGCUCGUGACACUCAUGGCAAGAACUAUAUAUAGCAUACAUAAGGCUUUCUAUUAUUGAAGCAUAAGGGAUCUUGCUCAUGCAUUAGAUCUCCUCCGGUGUGUUGGGCACAUCUUCUUGGAGAGAUAA
rnacentral:lncRNA from 1 species